CAGCGCCACGAGUGGGGAUCAUGUUUAUUGGGCCUAAAGCGUCCGUAGCCGGUUUGGUAAAUCUUUUGUGAAAUCAUAGGGCUUAACUCUAUGGCGUGCAGAAGACACUGCCUGACUUGGAACCGGGAGGAGUCAGAGGUAUUCUGGGGGGAGCGGUAAAAUGUGAUAAUCCUUAGAGGACCACCUGUGGCGAAGGCGUCUGACUAGAACGGAUUCGACGGUGAUUGGACGAAAGUCAGGGGAGCAAUCCGGAUUAGAUACCCGAGUAGUCC
rnacentral:rRNA from 1 species